rnacentral:tRNA from 4 species
CUCCUUGUGGUGUAAUGGAUAACACGUAAGAUUCCGGUUCUUAAGAUAGGGGUUCAAUUCCCUUCAAGGAGGCUG